UACAGAGGGGGCAAGCGUUAUUCGGAAUUAUUGGGCGUAAAGGGCGCGUAGGCGGCCUGGCAAGUGGAAGGUGAAAUCCCUCGGCUUAACCGAGGAACUGCCCUCCAAACUGCUUGGCUUGAGUCCGGGAGAGGUGAGUGGAAUUCCCAGUGUAGCGGUGAAAUGCGUAGAUAUUGGGAGGAACACCAGUGGCGAAGGCGGCUAUCUGGACGAAUACUGACGCUGAAGUUCGAAAGCGUGGGGAGCAAACAGG
rnacentral:rRNA from 1 species